rnacentral:misc_RNA from 1 species
GAUGAAGAACGCAGCGAAAUGCGAUAAGUAAUGUGAAUUGCAGAAUUCAGUGAAUCAUCGAAUCUUUGAACGCAUCUUGCGCUCCUUGGUAUUCUGAGGAGCAUGCCUGUUUGAGUGUCAUUAAAUUCUCAACUACACUGACUUUGAAUUGGUGUGGCUUGGAUUUGGGGGGAAAAUUGUUGUGGGCUUUUUGUAUAGUCUGCUCCCCUGAAAUUGAUUAGCGGUACCUUUGUGGAACUGUCUACAGGUGUGAUAAUUAUCUACAUCUUAGACAUCUGCUGGAAUGCUGCUCUCUAAACCUUACUUGUAUUGACAAUCUUGACCUCAAAUCAGGUAGGACUACCCGCUGAACUUAAGCAUAUCAAUAAGCGGAGA